rnacentral:misc_RNA from 1 species
GAAAUGCGAUAAGUAAUGUGAAUUGCAGAAUUCAGUUAAUCAUCGAAUCUUUGAACGCACCUUGCGCUCCUUGGUAUUCCUUGGAGCAUGCCUGUUUGAGUAUCAUGAAAUCUUCAAAGUAAAUCUUUUGUUAACUCAAUUGGUUUCUACUUUGGUAUUGGAGGUCUUUGCAGCUUCACACCUGCUCCUCUUUGUUCAUUAGCUGGAUCUCAGUGUUAUGCUUGGUUCCACUCGGCGUGAUAAGUUAUCUAUCGCUGAGGACACUGUAAAAGGUGGCCAAUGUAAAUGCAGAUGAACCGCUUCUAAUAGUCCAUUGACUUGGACAAUACUUUUAUGAUCUGAUCUCAAAUCAGGUAGGACUACCCGCUGAACUUAAGC